GUAGCACAGGAGAGCUUGCUCUCUGGGUGACGAGCGGCGGACGGGUGAGUAAUGUCUGGGAAACUGCCUGAUGGAGGGGGAUAACUACUGGAAACGGUAGCUAAUACCGCAUGAUGUCGCAAGACCAAAGUGGGGGACCUUCGGGCCUCACGCCAUCGGAUGUGCCCAGAUGGGAUUAGCUAGUAGGUGAGGUAAUGGCUCACCUAGGCGACGAUCCCUAGCUGGUCUGAGAGGAUGACCAGCCACACUGGAACUGAGACACGGUCCAGACUCCUACGGGAGGCAGCAGUGGGGAAUAUUGCACAAUGGGCGCAAGCCUGAUGCAGCCAUGCCGCGUGUGUGAAGAAGGCCUUAGGGUUGUAAAGCACUUUCAGCGAGGAGGAAGGCGUUGCAGUUAAUAGCUGCAGCGAUUGACGUUACUCGCAGAAGAAGCACCGGCUAACUCCGUGCCAGCAGCCGCGGUAAUACGGAGGGUGCAAGCGUUAAUCGGAAUUACUGGGCGUAAAGCGCACGCAGGCGGUUUGUUAAGUCAGAUGUGAAAUCCCCGAGCUUAACUUGGGAACUGCAUUUGAAACUGGCAAGCUAGAGUCUUGUAGAGGGGGGUAGAAUUCCAGGUGUAGCGGUGAAAUGCGUAGAGAUCUGGAGGAAUACCGGUGGCGAAGGCGGCCCCCUGGACAAAGACUGACGCUCAGGUGCGAAAGCGUGGGGAGCAGACAGGAUUAGAUACCCUGGUAGUCCACGCUGUAAACGAUGUCGACUUGGAGGUUGUGCCCUUGAGGCGUGGCUUCCGGAGCUAACGCGUUAAGUCGACCGCCUGGGGAGUACGGCCGCAAGGUUAAAACUCAAAUGAAUUGACGGGGGCCCGCACAAGCGGUGGAGCAUGUGGUUUAAUUCGAUGCAACGCGAAGAACCUUACCUACUCUUGACAUCCAGAGAAUUCGCUAGAGAUAG
rnacentral:rRNA from 1 species